GACGAACGCUGGCGGCGUGCUUAACACAUGCCAGUCGAACGGAAAGGCCCUGCUUUUGUGGGGUGCUCGAGUGGCGAACGGGUGAGUAACACGUGAGUAACCUGCCCUUGACUUUGGGAUAACUUCAGGAAACUGGGGCUAAUACCGGAUAGGAGCUCCUGCUGCAUGGUGGGGGUUGGAAAGUUUCGGCGGUUGGGGAUGGACUCGCGGCUUAUCAGCUUGUUGGUGGGGUAGUGGCUUACCAAGGCUUUGACGGGUAGCAGGCCUGAGAGGGUGACCGGCAAAAUGGGGACGGAGAGAGGGACAAGACGCGAAGGGGAGGAAGAAGGGGGGAAAAGUGAAGAAUGGGCGGAAGCCUGAGGCAGCAAGGCGGCGAGCGGGAUGACGGCCUUCGGGUUGAAAACAGAUUUCGAAGGUGAAGAAGAGUGAGUGACGGUAAUGGGUAAAGAAGCACCGGCUAACUACGUG
rnacentral:rRNA from 1 species